rnacentral:lncRNA from 1 species
AGCAAUUUUUUCUUCUUUAUUUUUGUUAAAUAAGAUUCCAGAAAGUAUAGUGCAAACACUCAGUAGAAAAGUUGCAAUUAAGAAAUGUACAUUCACAUUUAACAUUUCAGUCCAUUCACUGGUUUUUGCUUUUUAAAUAAAAAUAGGACAAAUUAUUCAAUUACUUGUCUCAAUUUAACAAUCUUGGAAAAGACUGGAAGGUGCUCUACAGUGUUCAGUUGACGUAAAAAUAGACCCGUAUUGAUUAUACAAAUCUAUCACGAGAGGUUCCCCAGUGAUAUUGAGUUGGUGUCCUUCUGGAACAGACAUCUGGUUUCCGCGUCUAAAGAAGCACUCUCAGCAAGGUCUACUGAUGGGAGAACGUGUCACCCAGGCCCACUCUGUGCUCCCAGGCGGGACACGGAGGGACACAGGGGUUCACACAAACCCUUCUCAGACAAUCAAGAAAGUCCAAGCGGGGGCUUUGGGUUUACCUUAAAUGAGAGAUGGUUGUAAUUGUUACAUUAUCUCUGCUUGUGCAAGGCGGUGUGCAAUCAGUGUGAAGGAGAGAUGGAGGAAGGGGGCGGGGCUCUGCAGGUGUGCAGGAGAUGCAAGGCUCAGGGUCCAGGAUCCGCCGUGGCGGGACGCUCUGCGGCCAGCCGGCAGACGACCCGUGGUGGCCUGGGCCUGUCCCUUUGCACAUGCUGCAUGUGUUGGAAUCCAAACGAAGUUUCACACACUUGGGAAUCUCACAGCAUGCGAUGCUGAGUGCGUGUGGCUUGCGGGGCCGCAGUUUCCAACGGGGAGAAAGGCAGGACUGCAAGCCUCUCUGGGGCUGAUGCCCGGGGAGCGCCCUACGGGCAGGUGCAAGAGGCCGUGGAGGCUUCCUCGGGACUCCCGGAACGUGGGAGUGGUCCCCUGAGACUGAGAUCUGCCCCUGGGUGUCCUCCUGUCCCCAGGAAGGGACACUACACCACGUGAUGAGGACAUUGGCCGGCUCUGGCCAGGAGUUGGGGGCUGGCUUGGCUCCUUGUGAGGGGAGAGGCGUGUGCAGCUUGGGGGUUCCAGGGGGCCUGGCUCUCCCCCUGGCUGAUGUCAGAGAGGCCUUACAGGAAGAGACAGGACGACUGUGCUCCUGGCCGAGGGAGAGGCUGUUUACUAAGACACGAUGGCAGGUGGUACUGCGGACAUGGCUUCAGGACAGAAAGUGUAACAAGACAGGGCGAGGUGGGCUCCUUUGGGCCCCCACUGUGUCUCUGCUGGGGAUCAGCUGUUCAAGCAGAGGCAGGGCUCAGCCGCGAGCACAUGCCCUGUUCUCAUCUCGCCACGUGAGGCCUGGGUGAGGAUGACCUUGUGCCUGGGCACAUCCCUGGAUGGGCUGUGGGGCAAACCCCCGGCCUGAGGACCCACCUGGCUGCUCAGAACCAACCUGCCAGGCACCCCCGCCACUUGUGCGUGCACGGGCUAAGGGCUCCAUCAAAACCAACACUUCACUGAGUUCAUGGUUAGCUACGAGGCGCCCAAGAGAACGGACACCCAGGGGCUUGGGAUGGAUGGGACCCGGAUGCCUCCUGGUCCUGCGCUCAGUGCUGUGCAACUUUGUCCAAGUCUGUCACCUCUCUGAGCCUCUGAUUCCUCACGGACAACGUGGGGCGUGUAAGCAGGCCUCCCUCUGCAGACUGUCUGGAGGAGAGCGGGCUCGAGGCCGGGAAGGCGCUCCUUGCGGUCACAGGCAAAGCCCAUCAGAGUCAUCUGCUCACCAAAGCCCCCACGGGCCUCCCCUGCGC